rnacentral:rRNA from 1 species
GACGAACGCUGGCGGCGUGCUUAACACAUGCAAGCCGAGCGGAAAGGCCCUUUCGGGGGUACUCGAGCGGCGAACGGGUGAGUAACACGUGAGUAAUCUGCCCCCUACUUUGGGAUAACCCCCGGAAACGGGAGCUAAUACCGGAUACGACCACUCCAGCCAUCUGGGGGUGGUGGAAAGUUUUUUCGGUGGGGGAUGUGCUCGCGGCCUAUCAGCUUGUUGGUGGGGUAAUGGCCUACCAAGGCUUUGACGGGUAGCCGGCCUGAGAGGGUGACCGGCCACACUGGGACUGAGACACGGCCCAGACUCCUACGGGAGGCAGCAGUGGGGAAUAUUGGACAAUGGGCGGAAGCCUGAUCCAGCAACGCCGCGUGAGGGAUGACGGCCUUCGGGUUGUAAACCUCUUUCGGCACCGACGAAGCGGAAGUGACGGUAGGUGCAGAAGAAGGACCGGCCAACUACGUGCCAGCCGCCGCGGUAAAAC